rnacentral:rRNA from 1 species
UACGGGGGGAGCAAGCGUUGUUCGGAUUUACUGGGCGUAAAGGGCGCGUAGGCGGCCACCGCAAGUCAAUUGUGAAAUCUCCGGGCUUAACUCGGAAAGGUCAACUGAUACUGCGGGGCUAGAGUGCAGAAGGGGCAACUGGAAUUCUCGGUGUAGCGGUGGAAAUGCGUAGAUAUCGAGAGGAACACCUGCGGCGAAGGCGGGUUGCUGGGCUGACACUGACGCUGAGGCGCGAAAGCUAGGGGAGCGAACGGG